GGUUAAGCGACUAAGCGUACACGGUGGAUGCCCUGGCAGUCAGAGGCGAUGAAGGACGUGCUAAUCUGCGAAAAGCGUCGGUAAGGUGAUAUGAACCGUUAUAGCCGGCGAUGUCCGAAUGGGGAAACCCAGUGUGAUUCGUCACACUAUCGUUAACUGAAUAC
rnacentral:rRNA from 1 species